rnacentral:rRNA from 1 species
GCCCUUAGAGUUUGAUCCUGGCUCAGAACGAACGCUGGCGGCAGGCCUAACACAUGCAAGUCGAGCGCACCUUUCGGGGUGAGCGGCGGACGGGUUAGUAACGCGUGGGAAUAUACCCUUUGGUACGAAAUAGCCUCCGGAAACGGAGAGUAAUACCGUAUGAGCCCUUCGGGGGAAAGAUUUAUCGCCAAAGGAUUAGCCCGCGUUAGAUUAGGUAGUUGGUGGGGUAAUGGCCUACCAAGCCUACGAUCUAUAGCUGGUUUUAGAGGAUGAUCAGCAACACUGGGACUGAGACACGGCCCAGACUCCUACGGGAGGCAGCAGUGGGGAAUCUUGGACAAUGGGCGCAAGCCUGAUCCAGCCAUGCCGCGUGAGUGAUGAAGGCCUUAGGGUCGUAAAGCCCUUUCGCCUGUGAAGAUAAUGACGGUAGCAGGUAAAGAAACCCCGGCUAACUCCGUGCCAGCAGCCGCGGUAAUAAGGGCG